rnacentral:rRNA from 1 species
AUACCGUGGUAGUCCAUCCUGUAAAUGAUGUCGAUUUGGAGGUUGUGCCCCUUGAGGUGUGGCUUCCCUGAGCUAACGUGUAACAUCGACAGUCUUGGGGACAGUUCCCGCAAGGAUAAAACUCAAAUGAAUUGACGGGGGCCCGCACAAGCGGUGGAGCAUGUGGUUUAAUAAUUUGCAACGCGAAGAACCCCACCUGGUUUUGACAUCCACAGAACUUUCCAGAGAUGGAUUGGUGCCUUCGGGAACUGUGAGACAGGUGCUGCAUGGCUGUCGUCAGCUUUCGUUGUGAAAGAAAGGUUAAGUCCCGCGAAGACCGUAUUCCCUCUCCUGGCAUGCCAGCGGCAGGGCCGGGCCCUCAAAGGAAUAUUCCACUGAUAAACCUGAGGAAGGAGUGGAGGCCGUCUAUUAAUCACGGCCCGUACGGUCAUCCUUACAGACCAGCUAGGGAGGCAUAUACAAAGAGAAGGGACCUCCCGAGAGCAAGCGGACCUCAUAAAGUAUGUCGUAGUCCGGAGGGGAGAAGGUCCCCCACUCCAUGAAGUGGGAAUCGGUGGUAAUAGUAGAUCAGAACAGUACGGAGAAUCCGUUCUCGGGCAUUGUACCCACCGCCCGUCACCCCAUGGGAGUUGGUCGCAAAAGAAGUAGGUAGCUUAACCUUCCGGGAGGGCGGCAUCACAGGGAUCCAAAAGC